rnacentral:lncRNA from 1 species
AGACACUACGAAGUGCUUUGCAUCCCUUGUACAAUAAUUGAAAAAGGAAAACUUUACUUGUUACUUGACUGAAAUGAAAGGUGCUGUUCCAUGGAUCAUAAUUACCCAAGGGCGAUUUACGAUUUGACUCUGGAAUACCGUGCAUCAUUGAACAUCGGCA